CAGCAGCCGCGGUAAUACGAAGGGGGCUAGCGUUGUUCGGAUUUACUGGGCGUAAAGGGCGCGUAGGCGGACUGAUAAGUCAGGGGUGAAAUCCCAAGGCUCAACCUUGGAACUGCCUUUGAUACUGUUAGUCUUGAGUUCGAGAGAGGUAAGUGGAACUGCGAGUGUAGAGGUGAAAUUCGUAGAUAUUCGCAAGAACACCAGUGGCGAAGGCGGCUCACUGGCUCGAAACUGACGCUGAGGCACGAAAGCGUGGGGAGCAAACAGGAUUAGAUACCCCUGUAGUCCCUGUCUCUUAUAC
rnacentral:rRNA from 1 species